UAAAUGAAUGUUUUACAUCGGAUAAUUCAUAACUUUCUUCUCUCAAUAGAAAUGGUCACCGGAAUCGAGACUCGUUUCUUUGAAGGACCACCACAUCAAAAAAGUCCACGUUAUUCCCUUACUGACUUUGACAGUGGACUCUUCAGGCAUGUUUAUUUUAAAGAAAGGGAAAACUGUCAUGUUUUAUACUAUAAGCAAUACACUCAUGCUGUUUGUAUAAGUAGUACUGUUGGUGAGAUUCUGUCCGUCAGUUUGGCACAAGGAGGUCCUGCCCCUACAUUUUUCAGCCAGUGGGCUUACAGUUACCUCUGCAAUGGGCAGAUCAACCCAACACAGCUGGAUAAAAAUACAGUGGCAGAUUCACAGUUGCGGUUACUGAUUGACCAGGUGGAAUCUUCAACUGAGCAGUCACUUCAGGGCCUUACUGAUGAGAUUUUAAACUGUGGAUUCACUGGAGCCAUCUCGGUUCAAAACAAGGAACCGAUUGUCUGAGCCAUUACACUCCAUGCUGUGCUUAGAUUGCAGCCAAUGUUGGAACAACUCAAGGAGGGUUUGCAGCUGUAUGGCCUCCACCUGCUGAUUAAGCAAUACCCAGAAAUCUGCCAGCCUCUCUUCGUCCUUGGGGGAGAUGUAAAAGUGAGUACAAACGUAUUUUCAGUUUUACAUGUAUGUAUUACAUACAUUUACACAUUUUGUUA